CAGAUAUUGAGGUAGAGAGUACAAGAAAAAUAAAGUGAAUGUGCUGUGUCAAUAUAAGGUGCUUAAAAUAAAUUUACAUAAAAGAUUCAAAAAGCAGCUCGACACUCGUGUUAGUACCUCUAACUUAACACAGUAACAUGCAAACCAGAUAGUGGAAUAUUAUUUGAGUGGGAAGAACCAACCACAUCAAACAAAAACCAGUGGAGCGCU